CUUUUUUCUAACUCUGAUACUAAAAUCAUUGCUCUUUUUCUCUCAUCAUCUCCGUAAAGCUUUACCUUUAUUAUUUCUGCAAUUUGCUGUUGCAAUUUGAAAAUGGUGAAAUCAUGGGAAACAGUGACCCAUAAGACAUCAUUGAAAGUUUUCUUUCUUUUUAUCUCACUCUGCAUGUAAGUUGCUAGGAAUGUUUUUCCCACUCCCCCAAUUCCAUAUAUGCCAACAGUCAAAACUCUAUUAUCUUCCAGAAGCUCCCGAAUCUUCCUAACAUUUUCCCCAAAUUCUCUGCCAAUAAAUUCAUUUGACAACACCAAAGGCUUCUCUUCCUCGUACUCUUCCACUUCUUCAGUCAAGCAUUCUAUUUCCUUAUGUAUUAUUUCAGCCAAAUAUAUUUCUUCUUCUUGCACAUAAAAAGACCCAAACUGAUUCAGUGAGUUUUUUAUAUCAAUAGCUCUUUGUUUCAUGUCCUGCAGUCCGUCCAACCAUUCAUCAACCUCUCUCUUUCGCUUCUUGCCAUGUGACUCCAACAACUGUAAUUGUGUGUGAAUGUCCUCUUCUUUACUAGUCAGAUUGGAUAUAAUUACAUCUAACAUACUUUGCAAAGUAGUCAAAGUACCAUUAACAGCUUCAUGAUCUGUUUCAUUGUUUUGGUGAAACUUCAUUUAGAGUAAUGACAUAUUUAAAGAAAAAAAAAUACAAAUACAUUUUUAAAUACAAAAUCUAAUUAAACAGUAUUUUUUUUGUUGACUUUUCCUUUUAUUUAAUUGUUGGAUCGAAGUUUGAAAUAUAUAUUACUUUAUCAAAAUAAUAUAUAUAUUUUUUCAGCAAAAAUAUUUAAUUAAAAUUAUUAAAUUUUAUGCUUUUCCUCGAUAUUUUUUUUUAAUUUUAUUAUCAAUAUUACUUGAGAGACUUGAAAUAAACAAAAACUAGCCCCUAAGAAAUACUAGUAUUUGAUAUAAAAUAAACAAAAGUUUAGAAAUGAUUAAAAAAAAUAUAGGAACUAAAAUAAAAAAUUUAAUCAAAAAAUUAAUUUGCCCUGAUAAUUUAAAAAUAAAAAACCUCAAAUAGUUGUGCUGUAUAACUUCAACACACAUAAAAAAAAUGUGUGGUUAAUUUAAAUAUAUAUAUAUAUAUAUAUGUUCACAUUAAAAAAUUUAAAAAAUAUAAUUAGUUUAAAAUACAUAUGUUGAAACACCAAAUUCUUCAUUGAGUGAAAUAAUAAAAUUGACCACUAAUUAAGAAUUAAAAUAAGAAAAGGUAACAUAUCUCUAGAGACAAAUAACAUUAAAAUUGAUGAUUGAAAAAUAGAAAUCAAACUACCUUGUAAUAAUACAAGCCCAAGAAUGAAGGAAAGAACAUAAAGACAAUAAAUUUGUAACAAAGUUACAUACCUCCUAAUAAUGAUGUUGAUCCUGUAACCAUUUCAUGGUUAAUUGAACAACCACCAACAGUAUCAGUCAUUUCCUCAGCCUUCUCUGACAGAUUAUAAAACAUGAUUAAAAGAAAAAAAAUACAUAUUAUAUAAUAAAAUUGUAGUAUAAAAGUACAAUAUAAAUAGUAUAAUUUGUUUGAAAUAAUUAGUAUUCUCAAAAACUAUGACUGUAUAAUGUGACACUAAAAAUACGUUGUUUAGAGGAUUUUAGUUUAUUCCUUCGGUUAAGUAAAAAAAUUUAUUCAUGUGCUUUAACUCUUGAAACUCGUCUCUGAAUUUCAGUCCACAGUGCUCGCACUUCAAGCGAUCAUCUUCUUCUUCAAAAACUUGAUUCCAUUACUCUUCAUCUUUAGGUCUACCCAUUGUUAUUAUAUUUUCCUCUACCCAAAAAAUCAAAGCUAAUUCUUGCUCACCACCUCAAUGACUGAGAGUUUAAUCAAAAUGUCAAUGAAAAUUCAACAACAUGGUAUUUCAAUUCACAUUUCAAAUUCAAAACACUCAAAACUCAGUUGUAAAAUCCUAAUUGGUCAAGCCAAAUGAUACUUAGGGACAUGAUGAUCCUGCACAUAAAUCGUUUAUACUGCGGUAGGUUGUACGGUAGGGUUGUAGGUAACCAUUCACAGCAUUAUGAAAUACAAAAUUAGAUAAAUAAGGAAAAAUAGUUUUGCUGGGAUGAUGGAUAAAUAAUGGAAGACAAAUUUUCAUUGGAAAAACAGAGGAAAAAAAAGAAUUACCGAGCCCUUCUUCCAGGUGGUGGUUGAUUACUGAAUGCAGCAACUUAUUCUCUUCUAAUAUAUGAAAUUAUGUUAGAAAAUGUAGGAGUGAUUUGAGAAAGAAAGAGCAAAAAUGUGAGAAAUGCAUUUGAAGUUGGGUAUUAUAUAGGUCGUUUAGGGUUUAGAGGGUUCGACUCGCUUAUCGUGUUUCAUAAUUUAAUUUUUUUUUAAAUAACAAAAAUAUUUUUAACUUUAAUCAUAUUUAAAAAUUAAUAAAUAUUAUUAAUUUAUUGUACAAUCUAUUUUUAAUUCAAUUUAUCUAGAAUAUUUCAUAUAUAUUUUUAAUAUAUUAAACUUGAUUUAAGAUGAGUUUCUUUUUUUAUAAAAAAAGUUAGUUUUAAUUCUUAAGCUUUAUUUAUGAUUUUUUUUAAAUAAUACAAAAUUAUUAUUUUAAAAAAAUAAGAACAUAUUCUUUACUAUAAUUUUUUAAAGAAUAUAUAUUCCAAUUACAAAUAAAUAAAUAUAUAUAUAUACUAUUAUCUUAAACCAUGAUUUUUAUAGUCAAAGUAAUUAGUAUUGUAAUUGAAAUGAUAAUUUAAAACUUAAUUAAAAGUUAAUAUUAAAAUUAUAUAUCAUAAAAGAAAAUUUAAUACAAGUAAAUAUUCAGUUGAUAUGAAGCAAGAAUUUUAAAUAAUUUUUAUAUACAUAUUUAAAAAAAAUAUUAAUGAUCAUUUUUGGUAGAAGAGAAUUCAAGUGACUAAAAUAGGAAGGACUUUUCAUAUAUCUAAUUUUUUGCUGCGUUUGCCCAUCUAUGUAUUUUUAAUGUCAAAGCACCAUUUUUGUAAUUUUUACUUGUGUAAAGUGUCCACUCAUUUUGAUGCUCAAUACAAAAAGGUUGCAUAAACUGUGAUUUUAUGCGGUGAAGUAUUACAACUUAUACAUGGUAACAUGAAUAAAUACAUUGAAUAACAUAAUUUACAUGAAUAAUUUUGUAAUUUCAAAGUCCUCUUUAUCAACUGCUUCACUCAACAAAGGCCGAGCCUACAAACAAGUUUUUCUUAAUUAUUAAACUCAGCAGUUGAUUUAUAUUUGCAUUCCCUUGCCUUGUUCCUUUUUUAUAAUCCAUACAAAAUGCAUGUGAUUUACAAACGUUCCUAAAAAAACAUUCAAUUAUCCGAAGCUUGGCACAUUACACAAGUUAAGGGCAUUACCACUCCUCUUCUAAAUAAGCUUGUUCUUGUAGGCAUUCUAUUCAAGAUUAUUCUCCAAGUUGUUGUCAGUACAUUUGGAAAAGUUUUGGUCUGCCAUAGGUUCUUGAAAAUACUAUUAUGGGAACAACUAGCAUACUUAGCUAGGCACUCAUAAGCAGAUUUUACGGAGAACUCCCAUGAUGCAUCACUUACCCAUGUCUGGAUAUCCUUAACCUCCUUAUUAAAUCGAACCUUAGAAAUAUACUCUAACAUUUUCUCUUCUUGUGAUGCUUUCCAUUGAAACUUAACCCUCCUCCACCUAAGCCUCCAUCUCCACUCAGAAUCCUCCCACCCUCCUACCUCUUCCACAUUCUUCCCUUGAUCCAACGAAAGAGAAAAGAGCCCAGGAUACUUGGAGAUGAGUGUGACACCACCACACCAAGCAUCCUCCCAAAAUCUAGCCUUAUCCCCACCUCCCACUUUCCACUCUAUCGCUCCUCGAAACCAACCCUUUUCUUCAUCCUCUUCGUAGAUUUUACAUAAAUCUCUCCACCAUCGUGACUGGUACUUCAAGUUAAUCUUACUACAACUAUACUCCACACCAUAUUUAGAUAUGAGGAUAUUUCUCCACUUCCCCUUUUCAUCGCUCAAGAGUCUCCACUUCCACUUUGUCAAGUUCGAAGCCACCCAUCAAAGACAAACACUCUAUCCAGUAUACUUUUUGAUGAGUCGUUCGCUUUGAACCAAGUAAACUUCCUAUCCACAAUCGACAACUCUACCAAAAAGUUCUUAUCAAUAAAAUUAUUGAAGUCUCUGAUCUCUUUGGUAUGACUUCCUCUUUCACUAGUACCUUUCCUUUCAUUAACACUUCUAACUACAUUGAAUUCGCCGCAAAAACACUAAGCCGUGUUUUGAUUUGUACUUCUAAUAUUUGACAAAUCCUCCCACAAAACGACCUUCUCAUUCAUAUUACAUAGUGCAUAAACAUUAAACAUCAAACAUCGCGCAUUUCAUUUUAGUUUUGAGAUGUUGCCCGUACAUAACAAUAAAACUCCUUCCCUCCACAUGACUAUCACAACAAAAAGCUUCUUUAUAUAUAUAAUCAACGUACUUUCAACUCCUUUUGUACAUUCAUAUUACAUUGUUAUUGUUGGAUAAUUAGCCGACAAUAAAGAAUGGUUUAUGAGUUUAUCCAACAUGACAUUCCCCUCAUCAAAUACUUCCUUCAAACUCUUCUUUCCAUUCAACAAUCUUUGUCAAUAAGAUUCAUGAUCAAAUCAAUUUUCAAAUAAUUAGGUAGCAAUGCACUAUACAAGAAACAUUUUUGCACGUUCUUUUCAGUUAAAUUAUCAUAGCUACGUCCUAGUACACUUAAAACUUCUUCCUGCAUCUCUACCCUCAUUUCCAAUGUGUCAAGUUUAUUCAGUGCAUGUCUCCACCAAUAGAUGUCAGUUUUUCCUUUCAUGAUUCGAGCAAUCACACUGAUUCCAAGCGGUAAACCAUCACAUUUCACUACAACAUAUCUUGCAAUAUUUUCCACUUCAGGGGAGUGUUGAAGGUGUCCCAUGGUGUCCGUGUUUUAGCAAAAACAAGUCUCAAACUUCACCAAAAUCAUCAAAAUAUUCACGGAAAGGGCUCACACUUAUCAUAUUAAUUGGCUGGCAAUACAUUUGUUCAAAACACAUGUUUCAAACAACUUGUCAUGAUCAAUUUGAUACCUUUACUCCAAGAAGAAUUCCCACCUUUUUUAGAUCAAUAUAUUUCCAAACAUCAUCCAAAAUAAGUACUAUUUUUUCUCUUGUUACUAACUCUGAUGCCAAAAUCAUUGCUCAUUUCUCUUUUUCUCUCGUACAAACUAUCAUUAAUUUUAAUUAGUUAUAGUCGCUCAAUCAUCAGUUUUAACCAUAGUCAUUGUAUCAUUAGUUAUAAGUUAUAAUCAAACCAGUUAUAGUCGUUCUAUCAUUAGUUAUAAGUUAUAACCAAAUCAGUUAUAGUCGUUCUAUCAUCGGUUAUAACUAGUUAUAAUUGCUCUAUCAUCCUUUAAAGAAUAGUAUAAGAAUGAUGGAAUUGAAAAGUGACUUUUGAAUUUAUAGUUUGAUCCUGUCACAUGUGGAUUGACUUCUAAGUUGGGGACGAUUACAUAGAAACAAAGUUGUAUUGAUUUAUAUUCUAUAGAACACUUUCAGUGGUUCAUAGAAUAGCUCAAAUCCAAAUGCCAAAUUUUAACUGUCCAAACCAAAGCUGUAACGAUUAUGAAGAAAGCAAUCAUCCCACAUACAUUUUGUGAAUUCUCUCCCAAAUUGAGAUGGUCAUGCUUUGUGUCACUCUAGGGAUCAUCCUUGAAAAGCCUUAUUACAAUUACCUAGAUAAAGAAAUGCCUAGCAAAAAAAUGAAAAUGAAAAACAACUGAAUCAUCAAACCUUACUAACAAUUUCCUUGUCUUGGUUUUCCGUGUCACCUUCUUCAAUGUUCAUACUCUUGUACCAGCGAGCACAGAAGAAGUAGAGCACAAAGUCAAGAGCAGUUAGUAUUGCAAUGAGGAAGAAAAACCUAUCCAGGUGCCCCACAUUCAAGUUAUUGGGAAUCCAUCCUGGAUUAUCACCUCUUUCAGUGAUUCCCGCGACCAUGUACACCAGUGUGCUACUCACAUAGUUUCCAAGGGAAAUUGAUGCCAUGCAAAGUGAGCUCCCAAAGCUUUUUAUGCCAUCUGGUGCUUGCCCGUUAAAAAACUCCAACUGACCCACAUACACUAAAACUUCUGAAGCACCAACCAGAACAUACUGCGGAAUUUGCCAAAAUAUAGUCAAAGAACUAGCCUUUUUCCCAGGUAUAACGUGCUUGAGCCUUUCAAUCUCUGUGACACCAGCUGCAAUCAUAGAUAGCAUUCCAAUAAUUAGGCCAACUCCCAUUCUUUGAAGCUCAGUUAGUCCCCUAGGAUUGCCAGUGAAACGUCGUGCCACAGGAACAAUGAUAUAGCGAUAAAUUCCAGUGUUUAAAAGGACACUGCAGAUAUCAAACACUGACAUGCUGGCUGCUGGCAAGUGAAAAUUUCCAAUCCUGUUGUCCAUCACAUCCCCUUGCUCCACAAAAAGAGAAGCCAUUUGCGUAAACACCACCGAAUAAAUUAUAGUACAUAGCCAAACUGGUAACAUUCUCAAUACACACUUGGCUUCUUCAACUUGAGUUACGGUACAAAGCCGCCACUGAUUAUUCUUGAGAUCAUCUCCAUCUUUCUCCGUUAUCGUUGCUGCCUUGUCCAUGAAUCUGCUCAACAUCAACCAACAUGAGCUAAGGAUGUUAGUUUGUUAGUUUCAAUUCCACACAACCAAAAGUACUGUAAAGAACACAAUCAAAAUAGUUAGUUGUUUUACUCAAUGACAUCACCUCAAAUCAUUGCUGUGCAUAAUCUUUCUACUGCCUUUUAUGGCAGAUUCUGGACCAUCAACCUCAUAAAGUUGGUCUUCCGUGCUGUAUUGAACCUUACACUUUCUAAAAGCAGCCACAAAAACCUGAGCUACCCUUAUCACCGGAUUCCCGUAUGCCUUUACAUAUCUAUAUUUCUUAUAUCCUGCCAAGUACGAAACUAAAGCAAUAAUAGCUGAGGCCAAGGAUACCAAGAAACCCAUUGUCCACAUCCCUGAAUCCUCAUAGUAUACUAAUAUAGUAUUGGAGAACAAAGAUCCAACGUUGAGGGCAAAGUAAAAGUAAGAGAAGAAAGCUUCUCUCGAGUCCUUAUGUUUUUCGUUCUUCUCAUCGAAUUGAUCUGCGCCAAAGGUUGCUAAGGUGGGUUGGUGCCCUCCGUAUCCAAAUGCCACUAGAUAAAUGGACAAGUAGAACACACCAACACCCACCGAUGAUGGUUCCCUGCAUUUUGUCUCUUCAUUGCCACAACCAGCUGGGUUGAUCAAAAAUCGCCAAGAAGUCAGGGACAACAGCCCCAAGCCCUGUUCAUUCAUGUUCAACGAGCAUAUUUAAAAUUUUGUAGUAUUAUUAAUUUGUUGGUAAUGGCAAAACAAGUGUUAUAUAGGAAGAUGAAUUCAAAAGAAUGCAGUACCACAACAAAAAUGAUCUGAAAGAUUGAGCAGGUUAAGUAUCGACCCCAGUAAGAAUCACUGAGAAAGGCUCCAACUAAGGAGAAUAUGUAAACGGUUCCGGUCCACUUGCUCACAUUGUUGGCAGCCUCAGCACUAUCUUGGUGAAGGACUCGUGUCAGAAACAAAACCAAGUUCACUCCAACUCCAAAGAAAGCUAGUGUGGCCAAUGCUUGAUUCACUGCAUUUGUAUUCAGUGCAAUGUUAAAGUAUUCAACUUACUUAUGUUUUGCCAUUCAUUUCUGAUUUUUCUAAAGUAGAAAGUGGAUUACAAUUAACUCAUCAUUUUUCAGUACCUAGCAAGAUAAUUGUAGUUUUCCACCCUCCUUUACACUUCUUAUCAUUUGUGGGUGACUGUCCUAUGUAGCCAUCAUUUUCUCCACUCACCUGUUUUUAUUUAGAAAGAAAGAAAACAUUAUAAAUAACAAAUUUAGCUCAUAACCCUUUUGCCAUUCAUCAAAAGAAAUCUACCUAUCUAUCUAUGAUAUUAUUGGUAUGUGUAUUCAGUUGUGACAUGAAAUAUUUAUGCAGAGAACCCUUCCCUUUGUUUUUUAUGAAAAAAGAAACUAAACUUGAUCGACUAAGAAUAACUGACCUUGAUUGGCUUGGCAGUGUGUGAAUUGGCGAUUCCCGGUUCCAUCUGCGUCAUGAAAAACUCUGUUUAAUUCUUCAAUAAAGCUAAGAUUUCUCUCAAACACCUUAUCUUUCAAUAAGUUCUUCAGUUUUAAGACUUUCAAGUAUGAAAAUCCACUAUCCUUGGUGUAGUUUGUUUCUAGUAGUUUUUAGAAUCCUAAAACAAGAUUUAUUAGUUCGCUUAGCUAAUUUGUUUAUCUCCAUAAUCUUCGUGUUUGUAGAUAAGAAACCAAGUGAAUUAUUAAGGAUAAGAGAAUCAUUUCUCUUCAAUUAUGAAUAAGCAUAACAAAACAGGUGCUAUAUAUGCUACUCUUCUUUAGAGUCACAAAGAAGGAAAAUACAUAUACAACACCACGAUCUGCAUAUGGAAACAAACAAGUGUUAGUGUUGUUGGCUGCCUUAUACAUCAAACAAACCGAAACAUACAAAAAAAAAACUUCAAUAAGAGCGUUUUACUUUAGAAAAAAAAUUGAGUGCUAGAAAUACUAACAAUAACAUAAAGUUGUAUUGUGGUGUGAUGAAUAGUAAUAAAUAAGUAGAAAGUGUAACCUUUUACGGAACUUGGUGACAGAAAGAAUGAACUGUUUAGGAAUAGUGUCAAAUUCUGGUGAAGGGGAAGAGCAAUAAGUAACAACUACAAAGGAAAAUGUUCCCGGAGAGUAUGCCAGAUUCAAAUUCUUUGUCAUUUAUGGAUCACAAUCAAGGAUGUCAGCACUUCCUUCUCUCAAUCUAAACACUCAUACACACAAUGUUUAUCAACACUGCAACUCUAGUGACCAAGAGAUAGAGGGAAUUAACACUGCACUAUGGUCAGUAAUGCUGUAUUUAAACUGUAUAGUCCUAGCAUGUGUGGUGAACGCCAAAGAUGUUAGAUAUACUGAAUUACUAUAAGCCAGGACAAAUGAUAUGGUGGAUUUGUUAUUGUAACUGAAUUACUAAUUCAGGGACCAAUUUUCUCUCCUCCUACCUCAUUUUCAUACAAUUUCUGUUAAGAUUUUUUUAUUGGACUUGUUGAUUGCUUAAAUUGUUAAAUGAAUAUCUAAAAUUGGAUUUAUAAUUUCUAAUAUCACUUAUAACAAUAUUGUGCUAAAAGUAAGCAAACUGGUUAUGCUAGAAGUGAUUCAAAAGGGUGAAUAAUUUAAACCACUUGAAUAAAAUAGUGCUUUAAAUAAAAUUUAUUUAUCAGCAUAUUCUAGAUGUUAUAAAUUUCCAGAAAAAGUUGUUAAGGACAUCAAAUAUCUACCACCCUUGAAAUAUUAAUUAAUUAAAAUCUUACUAUUUUUUUUGUUGUUGUUUUUAAUAAUUCUGUUACAAGUUUGAUUAAAUUUCAAUUUUGAAUAUGAAAAGUGUUUGAUGGGAUAAAAGUGAAGAUGAACUUGAGGAAAAGAUCCAAUGAAGAUGAACUGGAGGAAAAGAUCCAAUCACUUUGCAAUAUUUAGUUUUGAAUUUAAAAAUAUUUUUAUGUCUGUAUUCCUUUUGAAAUAUAAAAUUAAAACAUUUACAAAUAUCUCCUCUCAUAUAUUUGAAUUUUUGGGAUUUUUAUUAUUGAUUAUCUCUCUUCGCUCUUCCUCAUUUUAUCUUUCUUCUUUCUCAAAUCUCGAAACUUCACUCACAUGACUAUCAUGUUAUAUCUCACAUACAUACUCUUUCAUUCCACACAUUUCUUUAUCCGUCCCAAAAUACACUUCUAAGCACAGCAGAUUCCUUAUCACUCACUUCACUUUCUUAUUUUUCUCUUCACGUUAGUAUUGUAAGCCAUUUUCCUCACCAAACCAUGCAUUGUUACGGUCAGAUAAUUAGCCGACAAUAAAGAAUGGUUUAUGAGUUUAUCCAGCAUGACAUUCCCCUCAUCAAAUAUUUCCUUCAAACUCCUCUUUCCAUUCAACAAUCCCAUGUCAACAAGCUUCAUAAUCAAAUCAUCUUUUUCCAAAUCAUUAGGUAGCAAUGCACUAUACAAGAAACAUUUUUGCCCGUCCUUUUCAAUUAAAUUAUCAUAACUACGUCGUAAUACACUUAAAACUUCUUCCUGCAUCUCCACUCCCAUUUCCAAUGUCUCAAGUUUAUUCAGCACGUAUCUCCACCAAUGAAUGUCAGUUUUUCUCGAGCAAUCACACUGAUUCCAAGUGGUAAACCAUCACAUUCCCUUACAACAUCUCUUGCAAUAUUUUCCACUUCAGGGGAAAGUGUUGAAGGUGUCCAACCUUGUCCAUGUUUUAGCAAAAACAACUCCCAAGCUUCAUCACAAAAAUAGUGAGGGAAAGGGUUCACACUUAUCAUAUUAAUUGGCUGGCAAUCCAUCUGUUCAAACACAUGUUUCAAACGACUUGUGAUGAUCAAUUUAAUACCCUUUACUCCAAGAGGAAUUCCCACCUUUUUUAGAUCAAUAUAUGUCCAAACAUCAUCCAAAAUAACUACUAUUUUUUUUCUUUUUUCUAACUCUCUUGCCAAAAUCUUUGUUCUUUUUCUCUCAUCAUCUCCAUAAAGUUCUACCUUUAUUUUUUCUGCAAUGAGAUUUUGUAAUUUGAAAAUGGUGAAACCAUAGGAAACAGUAACCCAUAAGACAUCAUUGAAAGUUUUGUUUCUUUUUAUCUCACUCUGCAUGUAAGUUGCUAGGAAUGUUUUUCCCACUCCCCCAAUUCC
rnacentral:lncRNA from 1 species